CACGUAAGGGGGAGCAAAAUCAGGCCUUCUUUUUUUUUUUUUUAAGCCCUUUUAUUUUCUGAGGAGGACAAUGCAUCCCAAUUGGGAAAGAAAGGGAAGAAUUGAACACCUAAAGAAAAAAGCGCAAAAAGAUUUCCAGCAAUUCAGCUCCUAUGGCAAUGGCUUUCCGAUUUCCUUACAGACCCUUUAUUACUGACAUGAAAUUGGAUGCUGGUGGCAUAUACAACACAACUGGAAAGGGCCCGAGAAGUACAGGAGAAUUGCUCAGCCAAAUAUUGACAGCAAGUUGCAUUCAAUCAACUUGCAAGAACAGAAAAUCUCUUGGUAGAGUGGGAAGGAUUUUAUCUUUUCAAGGAUCCUCAAAGCAUGUGCAGACAGCUUGCCGAAUCUCAUUUCCAAGGGCUACUUUAGAAAGUAAAGAGAAGGCAUCUUCAAGUUUGAGGAAAAAGAUGAUAAUUCCUGAUUCAGAUCCACCUAGUGUUCAAGAUGUCAACAUUCUCUAUCAAUUUUUUGAUAGGAGUUCAAAUCUUGUUGUUCUGACUGGUGCUGGAAUUAGCACAGAGUGUGGAAUUCCUGAUUAUAGAAGUCCAAAUGGAGCUUAUAGCACUGGAUUCAAACCCAUAACCCAUCAGGAGUUUAUGCAUUCCAUCCGGGCACGAAGACGAUACUGGGCAAGGAGCUAUGCCGGAUGGAGAAAGUUCACCGCUGCACAACCUGGUGCAGCUCAUAUUUCUCUGGCAUCUCUUGAGAAAGCAGGACGGAUAAAUUUUAUGAUUACACAAAAUGUAGACAGGCUGCAUCAUCGUGCUGGAAGUAAUCCCCUGGAAUUACAUGGAACCGUAUAUAAUGUUAAUUGUACAAAUUGUGGUUUUUCACUCUCUCGAAGUGUAUUUCAAGAUCAAGUAAAAGCCCAUAAUAAAAAGUGGGCAGCUGCAAUUGAAAGUUUAGACUAUGACAGUGUCUCCGACAAGAGCUUUGGUAUGAAGAUUAGGCCAGAUGGAGACGUUGAAAUUGAUGAGAAAUUCUGGGAGGAGGAAUUUCAUAUUCCUAGUUGUCAGAGAUGUGAUGGAAUUUUAAAACCUGACGUUGUCUUCUUUGGUGAUAAUGUCCCAAAGGACAGAGCUGACACAGCCAUGGAAGCUGCAAAGAGAUGUGAUGCUUUUCUUGUGCUUGGCUCAUCUUUGAUGACUAUGUCUGCUUUCCGUCUUAUUAGGUCCAAGCCUUGCCAUCUUUCUAAGUAUGAUUUAGGUGAAGCUUGGAAUGUUCUGAUGCAGACAGAAGCCUGAGAAGACUAGGGAAAGCUUUGGUGCAUGACCAGCUUAUGGGCUUGAAAGCAAAAUGGUGAAAGACAUUGUCCUGGUUAGGUAAAUUAGCCCGCUUAUGGGCUUGAAAGCAAAAUGGUGAAAGACAUUGUUCUGGUUAGGGCUGCUCAUGAAGCUGGUGCUGCUACUGCAAUUGUAAACCUUGGCGAGACACGAGCUGAUAAAUUUGUGCCUUUAAAAAUCAAUGCUCGACUUGGUGAGAUACUGCCAAGAUUGCUUAACACUGGAUCCCUUAGUGUCCCUGUUCCUUAUUCAUAGUACCUUGAAGCUCAAGAGAUGGUUUCAAAACUUGACUCAAUUCAUCGCGGAUGCAAUUGCCAUUGCAAGCACCUUGUAAGCCUCUGUUGUAAAUGAAAUAUUGUUUAGAUGAUGGUUUUGUAUCCAGCAAAGUAAAAUUGAUUAAAACCAUUUCUUUGUCCCUGCCUAAAGUGCCACUAGAUGUUGGAUGGAGUCUCGUUUAGUUCUUAUGCUGCAUUUUCUAAGUUGUAUGCUAGAUAUUAAUCCAUAUAUGUUGUAAUUCUUACCUGCAUCGGUCUUAAGGAGCCCUUGGUAUCUGAUCAGACUCCUCUCUACUUGCUUAUGUUGAUGUGGUGGUGCAGUACAAUUUCGGAUUAAUUCCAUAGAAAGAUUUUGUUUGUGCCAAA